UGUUUUUGAGACCAAGGAACAAGUAUUUCGUCUUGAUUACCACUCGCUAUAGGCUCUGUUAACAGUGUAAAGAAAGUUGGAAGUUCUCUCCUGAGAAGAAGUAACUUCAAUUUGGAAGGACCCGGGCUUCUCAUGUUUCUCUUUGUAUCCUGACCGCUGGGAACUGCCUUACCUGCAGCUACAAAGAGUUAAGUCCUGCAAGUGAGGCUUAGACUCAGAUCUUGUGAAGUGUUUUCACAUUUCCCCAUGAACGCCUAGUGCGGGGCUGGGACUGACUGAUCUGCUGUAGUCAUGAGCGCAUGGGUGGCCUGUGUGCGGCCUUAUUGCCAAUAAUUGCAGGACUUGGUGCAGUAUGGUUGAACAGGUGCUCAGACUGGAUUUGUGUCUAGCGAGGCCAUCCUGAAGCUGCAUGGGAGUUGUAAAAAAGUUACCAACAAGUUUUUAGUUAUUCGAAUAGGUUUUUUAACAGAUUUGGAAUGUGGGAAGCAGUUGCAGAAAUAAACGUCUUAAUGACUAAA
rnacentral:lncRNA from 1 species